UGAGCAACCUGCCCCAAGCUUUGGGAUAACCCUCGGGAAACGGGGGCUAAUACCGAAUAUUACUGUUGGCCACAUGGCUGGUGGUGGAAAGUUUUUCGGCUUGGGAUGAGCUCGCGGCCUAUCAGCUAGUUGGUGUGGGUAAUGGCCCACCAAGGCGACGACGGGUAGCCGGCCUGAGAGGGUGACCGGCCACACUGGGACUGAGACACGGCCCAGACUCCUACGGGAGGCA
rnacentral:rRNA from 1 species